CCCUAUUUCUGUUGAGGUACUAAAUUCCUGAAUCAAGAAAACUCAGUUACCUAAACAGUUGGUUCUUCUGUUCUGUUCCGUGUGCGCGUGAUAACACACUACAAUGUUACAGUACGUGCUAUAUUUUAAAAGUAAAAUUUUGAACUGCAUGUUCUGUGACAAUGAUGUGAUGCUUCCAAGCAAAGUGGCCAGUUAAUUAGAAUGUAGUGCCCUGUUGUUCCUUAUCUGGAUGCUUUUUUCGUGCUUAAUUACUUGCUGGAAAGUACGUAAGUAACAUGUUUGCUAGGUUGUUCCUUUCCACUGUUUUGGACAUGUUCGGAUGCUUGUGAUCUUUUUUGAUAGAUUUGGGACUAGCUAGAAACCAAGAAAAGUACAGGAGAUUGGUGUUGUUACAGGCUGAAAGGCAAACUUUUUUAUCCUUUAGAUUACAAUUUGUACCUUCAGUUAAUUGCAGGAACAUGUUUUAAUUUUUUUAGGGCUUGAAUAUCAGUUAGAGGCAAAUGUGUUUAGGACUUGCAUUUCUGCUAGUGUCCAGUCCUAGAAAAAAAAUUCCUAUCAGGGCGUAUUAUUUUCUUAUACAUCCUUUAUUUUUUUUGUUAUGCAUACUUUGCCUUUUUAAGUCAUUAAAAGGCGUUCUUGAUAAGCCUAAGGGCAUUGUGUAGGGUGUAACAUACCAUCCCUGUGAGUGACUACUAAUAAUGUGAAAUGCUUAUUACUGUUUGUAUGAUGCUAUUUAUUUGUCUGUGCUAUCCUUUAUUUCCUUUUUGUCUUUAUUUAAGAAGUUCCUUUCCCACUUCCUAUCGUGUCUGUCUACAUUAGGCAUACAUGCCACAGAUCCUACUGAUGUUUUCUUGCCGUUUCGAUUUUAGAAUGUGUUGGGUGGCUCAUGCUGCUGUGUGUUCUUUAUUUGCUAUCGGAUCUAAGGAUAAUAGGGGCUCUACCUCACAUAUGACACACCAUCUCAGGUGAUAAUGCCUCUAAAGAGGAAGGAGAUCAUGUGUGCCAAAAAUUAUUCAGUUGAGGUAGGCACAUCAUACUAAUUUGCGAAUUAUGGUCAGCAUUUCUCUGAAUUGCUAAGGUCCCUAAACUAUCCUGCUUUUUCAUUCAAUAUGCAAACGCCAGUAGGUCAAGACAGUUAACAUAUCCUUAAAGGAAUUAG
rnacentral:lncRNA from 1 species